rnacentral:rRNA from 1 species
UACGUAGGGGGCUAGCGUUGUCCGGAAUCAUUGGGCGUAAAGACGCGUGUAGGCGGUCCGGUAAGUCCGCUGUGAAAGUCGGGGGCUCAACCCUCGAAUGCCGGUGGAUACUGUCGGGCUAGAGUGCGGAAGAGGCGAGUGGAAUUCCUGGUGUAGCGGUGAAAUGCGCAGAUAUCAGGAGGAACACCUAUUGCGAAGGCAGCUCGCUGGGACGUUACUGACGCUGAGACGCGAAAGCGUGGGGAGCAAACAGG